rnacentral:rRNA from 1 species
UACGUAGGGGGCAAGCGUUGUCCGGAAUCAUUGGGCGUAAAGCGCGUGUAGGCGGCUCGAUAAGUCUGCUGUGAAAGUCCAAGGCUCAACCUUGGGAUGCCGGUGGAUACUGUCGAGCUCGAGUCCGGAAGAGGAGUGUGGAAUUCCUGGUGUAGCGGUGAAAUGCGCAGAUAUCUGGAGGAACACCGGUGGCGAAGGCGGCAUCCUGGACCGAUAUUGACGCUGAUGCGCGAAAGCCAGGGGAGCAAACGGG